rnacentral:lncRNA from 1 species
UUUCAAAACCUAGAGACUUCUUUUUACUCUCUCCUCUCUCUCACCCUCUCUCAAGCCGCCGCCGCCCCACCGCUGCUUCCACGACAGCGCCGCCGUCCUCUGGUGGCUAAACGGCCUCCAUCUAACAUCAUCCCCUUCCUUUCACUCCUCUCAUUCCAAAUCCAUAGCCCAAAAAUUCCAAAUCUCCACCAAUAAUCAACAAAAGAAACCCUAAUCACGCCGUCACCAAUGCACCACCCCUUCCGCCGUCGUCCAAAGACCUCAAAAUUCUCACCAUCUCUUCCUCUCACUCCCCUCAUUCUAAAUCCACAACCCAAAUUCCCCAAAUCUCCACAAAAAAUUGACAAAUCCAAACCCUAGUGUCGUCGCCUAUGCCCCGCCACACGCCACCGCCCAAAACCCCUCAAAAUUUCACUAGGUCCUCCUCUCCUCAUACUCUUUCCCAUUCCAUACCCCAAAAUCCUUAAAACCCUCUACCCCACCUUAUGCUACUACUACUGCCGCCACCACCAUGCCUGCCGCUGCCCUUGAAACACCAGACCAACCUCUUGUAACUGAUUUCUAGCAUAAACACGACCCCACAACACCCUUUUCUCUUUGGCAUGAUUUGGAAUCUACUACUAUGCCGAAGCUCAUUUUUUCCAGCACAUGCCAUCGAGGAAACAGUGCUUGGGGGUCGACUUGCUGCGUUUUGCAUCGUAUUUGAGAGAUGAGGGCAAUCUAAUUAGUUGUUACGGUAAAAUCCUAGUUCCCUUUUUAUUUUUCUGAUUUUUGCUUCUCUAAUUGGGUUUAGGUUUAGUUUAAAUCGUAUAUUUCUUGUCGAUAGUUAAUUGCUCGUUUUGAUCCUUGGCGAUUCGAUUAGAUCAAGUUCAUUUUUUGCGUAGUUGCUAAAUUUUCUUUUUGAUUCAGCCAUGAAUCGUUUCUGUGAUCGCAAGAUGAAUCAAUUGUUUCCAUACAAUUAGGCUCUGAUUUGCGGUUAUUAAUAGUCGUUUAUUUAGUUGUUGUUAGUUGUUGUCGGAUAGUUAACAAUGCUCGUUUAAUUUCUGUUACGCGCUUUAGCUGGUGAAUUCAGUUAUUUUCUAUGUUAGUGUGUACAAAUCGAAUUAAUUGCAAUCUAGUUUGUUUGAAUACUUGGUUCGGUUACCUUUUAAGUCUUGUUUCUGUUGUAUUAAUCUAUAAUUGGUUAGUUUGAAUGUGGAGUAUGUUAGCUUAAAUUUCAGUCAUGAUAAAAGCUGAAUAUAUGAGUGUAGAGUACGUGUUUGGUUUCUUUUACUGUUUUUGGAGUUGUUAGGAGUACAUCUACUCCUUGCCUGUGUCUUCAUAAUUUGAUUAGUUUGAAUGUAUGAGUGUGUUAGCUUAAAUUUCAGUCAUGAUAAAAGCUGAAUAUUUGAGUGUAGGAUACUCGUUUGGUUGCUUUUUACUAUUUAAAGGGCUGUUCGGAGUACACUGCUCCAAACACUAUUCAUAGUUGGUGAAAAAUUAUCUUUUAGACAGAUUUUUAACCAAAAAAUCUAUCCUUUGAAUAGUUGGGAUAGAUUUUAGGUUGAAAAUCCGUCCUUUGGACAGAUUCAAUGAAAUAAUUCAAUCAUUAUCCUUUCCUAUAAAAGAAGAGGUCUUUCCUCACUUGGGGGGGNNNNNNNNNNNNNNNNNNNNNNNNNNNNNNNNNNNNNNNNNNNNNNNNNNNNNNNNNNNNNNNNNNNNNNNNNNNNNNNNNNNNNNNNNNNNNNUCUAAGGUAACUGGAAUUGUUAUUUGUGUAAGCUAAAAUUGUGAGUUUGAAAAAGUUUUCUUAUUAAAAAUACUUUCAAAAGAUAAAAUCUUUUAGAACUUGUUCUGGGCUUCUACUCUAUGAUUUUUGGCUACUCAAACAUUCAUCCCACUGCUGAUUUGCUGCUGUUUUCUGUCUUUACUGCUAUUUCUGUUGCUAUUUUUGUUUAUUCUAGUGCUGUAUUUAUUUUACGUGACCCAGGUAAAUCUUAAAUUCUGUAUUGCAGAUUUUUAUAUCAAACGGUUGAAGAUAUAGACUUGUCUUGGCUCACUGAAUUUGUUUGAUAUACCUUAUUGAACGAAAACAUUAUAUUGAAGCAUUGUUCAAUUGUGUGUAGAAUAACCAAAGUAAAUUUUACUAUAAAGUAAAGAUGCGAUGGGCAUCUAUAAUUAGACGCGGGAUUGGAGGGAGAGAAUAUUUUCUAUUUACACAAUUUAUACUCCACAAUCUACACCAAAAUAAUACGCAAUUCAUACCCAAAUUUCUGCAAAAUCAUUGUCUAAUGAUGAUUUUUUCAGUUUUUCCAUAAAAACACAACAAAUUCAAAAUAAAAUCCUUUUAGAAUAAAUCGAUAGCAAAUGAAUGUGAAGUAUUCUUAAUCAGAUCUGAACAUAUAGUAAAUUUCUAAAAAAAAUUAUAUGAUUGCGAAUUUGAGAAUACGAUUGAAUUACAGUGUCAAAAUUGAUGAUAAUGCUUCAGUGCAAUGGUCGGUAGGAUAGUUUCGGGAAAUAUAUAGAUUUUGAUGUUGACAAAAUUAUAAUUAAUGAAGAUUCAAGUUAUAGUAUUGUGAAUGCCGCAAUCGCAUAACACUUAAUGAUAGAUAUUUUUGUAAAACUCAUCGAGAUCAAAUACAGAGCGAACGACCGGCAUCCUUCAAUAAAAAUCUAAACAAUAUAGGUGUGCAAGUGUAUAUGAAGACGCAUGAAAGUACAUGAUUUGAUAGGAACUCAAAUGUCCUGUACUAGUUUAAAGAUAUUUUCAUAUGAGUAGUGUUACCUCUUGCAUUUCGUAUGUUAAAAGUUGUCUUCAGUUCAUUGACAUAGACUCGGGGAUGAGAUUAUUUUGAGAUUAAUGUAUUUACGCUAUUUAUAAUAAGCGAGAAAUAAGUGUUAUGAAGGAUGAAUGGUACAAAAUUAAAGAAAAAUGAGUUUCGAUGAAAUGGUCAAUUUGGUAUAAAAUACGGGGGUUGAGGAAUAAUACCGAUAAUUUAAAUAGUACCAUGAAAGGUAUCAUAUGACCAUGAUAGUAUAAUAUAUAAAUUAUAUAUAUAAAGUAUGUUAAGAAUAAAUAAAAUUUUAAAUAAUUUGAAAUUAUGUAGAUAAUUAAUUAAUUAUCGGGUAUCUAACUAAUAAAAUAAUUAUAAGAUAAUAUUAAAAAUCCUCCUACGUGGCAGCACCACCAUAAUCUUAGGAACAACUCUUAAAGUCAUUUGUCUAUGUGACAACUUGUCUUAAGGCUUAAAUAAUACACCUUUUUGCAAAAAGAAAUCAGAUAUGUGUUAAGGACAUAAAAAGGAUCAUAUAUCCAUAAUUGCAGGACCAAGUGUGUAGGAUUACAUUGUCAAGUGUUCUUGCAUACCUAAGAUUGGAGCAGAAAUCCUAGUAGUAUACCUUUUGGUGGGUAAUUACUAAUCCCAAAGUGUGGCAAGAACAAGGAAAAUCUAGUGGAGGAAAUUGCUUAAUAUAGACUCGAGUAUAUAAUGGCUAUCCUUUCUUUCAAUUGACAUGACUAAAUAAAAUAUAUAUUUAACUAAAGAGGUUAAAAAAAGCAUAAUUCUUAUAAAUAUUCCACUCUUAUAGUUGAUGGUUGUUAUAUUAUUGAUUACGUUGUGAAUAGUUUGAUUGUAAAUGAGUAUAAAUUUGUUCUUAAGUUCCAGUCGUCCAUUUGAUUUAUUGCGUAAAUGCAUAGGUAUAGUAAAGAAUAGGUGAGUUAUAAUUGUGUUCCUCAAGUGGAAUCUAUUCUAAAUUAUUAGAUAUAUAUUAGACAUAAUAGCAUACUAGGUAGUCUAAGGUAACUGGAAUUGUUAGUUGUCCUUUUUGAGAUAGGUAUUCCAAGAGGCUAAUUGAAAAUAAGGAUUUGAGUAUAUAUUUGUUACUUCCAUUAGUGGCAUGUUUUCGCUGGUCAGCAGUUACUAUCGGUUGGGUAGUUAUGUAUUAUUAUUUAUUAUCGGUUAAGUAGUUAUGCAUAUUUAUUUACCACCGAGCCAUGGUCAGUUGGAUAGUUACAUAUUUACCACCGAGCUACGAUCGAUCGGACAAUUAUGCAUUUAUCACAGUGCUAUGGCCGAUCGGGCAGUUACCAUUGAUCAGUUGCGCAGUUCACGCCACGAGAAUGAUAUGAUCAGAACUACUAUAUUAUAAUUUUAUUUAUUUAUACGGAUGAGUUUUAUUCUACAUGGUACGGCCCUCAGCGGCAUGUCAGAUGUUAUAAGUUGACUCUUAUCCCUAUCCGAGAUAGUAUCUUAUUAUUACUAUGUUUUAUUUCUGCCUUACAUACUCGGAACAUUCUUCAUACUGACGAUCCUUUUCCCGGGGCAUUGUGUUUCAUGGUACACAAGUGUAGAUAGGCGAGGUGAGGACUAUCCGCUGUAGGCUGCCUCCAUAUAUCGGCUUUUGGUUGGUGAGCUCCACAUCUUUUUGGAGUAUUGCAGAGUCAUGUUCUACAUAUGUUACUUUAUUUUAUGAAGAUAUCGGGGACCCUGCCCGGACUUAUAUAUUAUGAUCAUGUUCUUUUAGAGAUUUUGCAGACAGUAUCUUGUGUAUAACUUUCCGAGUCAUGUUCUACAUAUGUUACUUUAUUUUAUGAAGAUAUCGGGGACCCUGCCCCGACUUAUAUAUUAUGAUCAUGUUUUUUUUAGAGAUGUUGCAGACAGUGUCUUGUAUAUAACUUUAGGUAUGACAUGUUAACAACUUUGACAAUUGUUGAGAUACAAGA